rnacentral:rRNA from 1 species
GACGAACGCUGGCGGCGUGCCUAAUACAUGCAAGUCGAGCGAUGAAGAUUGGUGCUUGCACCAAUUUGAAGAGCAGCGAACGGGUGAGUAACGCGUGGGGAAUCUGCCUUUGAGCGGGGGACAACAUUUGGAAACGAAUGCUAAUACCGCAUAACAACUUUAAACAUAAGUUUUAAGUUUGAAAGAUGCAAUUGCAUCACUCAAAGAUGAUCCCGCGUUGUAUUAGCUAGUUGGUGAGGUAAAGGCUCACCAAGGCGAUGAUACAUAGCCGACCUGAGAGGGUGGUCGGCCACAUUGGGCCUGAGACACGGCCCAAACUCCUACGGGCGGCAGCAGUAGGGAAUCUUCGGCAAUGGACGAAAGUCUGACCGCGCAACGCCGCGUGAGUGAAGAAGGUUUUCGGAUCGUAAAACUCUGUUGGUAGAGAAGAACGUUGGUGAGAGUGGAAAGCUCAUCAAGUGACGGUAACUACCCAGAAAGGGACGGCUAACUACGUG